rnacentral:piRNA from 1 species
CCAGUCUCUGAAGAGUUCAGUGG